GAAAAGAGGUGUUGUGAAGACUGGCAGUCACCUCGCUAAACUCCGAUAACUCUGCCCCUGAUCAGUCAAAACUCGCUACCGGGUGUACAAAUACCUGCAUCUGCACACGAGGUGAAGGGAGUAAAGUGAGUACUCCAACUCAGUGAGUAAUAAAGGUAAAUAACAACUCAGCCAUCAGAAAUCACAUAAAGCAGACCAACAUGUUGUAUAGAAGCACUAUAAAACCCUUUGAGAAAGAAAUAGGGAAGCUGUUAAAUCUUUAGAAACAUCUUAGCCCAGUUUAAACGUCUUUUGAAAUGAAUUUUUCAACCGUCAUGCAAAUGAAUGCAAACCAGUUAGUGCCGAUAAGCACAAAAAAUUCGUCCCUCUGGCACAAUUACUAAAGUAUAACAGGUAAAAUGACAAGUAAGUAUGAAAGAUGAACACAUAAAGGUUCGCCCUUGGGCACACUCUCAGAAUAGUAUUAACCCCUUAGGCUCACUCUCAGAAUAAAUAUCAACCCAUUGGGCUCACACUCAGAUCAUAUUGGGUACUCGCACUCACUAUGGGUGUACAGACUCCGAAAGGGGCGUAAAGAGUUUUUUCAAUUAAAGGACAAUCGAAACGGGACUUAUUUUUUAUUUAUUUAGAGUCGCCACUUGGAAAAUUAAUGGUGUCCCAAGUCACCGAUUGAAUCCCGAAUUGAGGAAAACGAUGAUUCUGUUCACAAUCCGCGAACCAGAAAUCCGGAUAAGGAAUUCUGUGAACUUGGGAGAAGGUGUUAGGCAUUCCCGAGUUUCUUGGUUCUAGCACGGUCGCUCAACUAUUGCAUUUCGUUUUAACUGAUUUCAUUACAUGAAGAACCUAUGUGCCAAUAUUUACUCUUUUACCGCUUUUAUUUAAUAUAUGUUUAUUUGAGAAAGUGAACGUCGUUUAUAGUCUGCUUUCGGAUUGCGCCGCAUCAAAUGAACUCGCAAUCCUAGGCACACUCUAUUCAACGUUUUAGGAUUUGGAUUUGAGCCGCAUAAAACGCUCACCCGUAUUCAGGAAUGUAAUUUAUUAAUGUCGCGCCUAAUAGGGUCUAACGCGUUGUAAUCUUUUGGGAGAGUCGUGAAAUUCGCUAAACGACCCUUCCCAAUUUUCUAAAUAUUUUUAAACCUUCAUUGAGGGUCCCGCAAUUUGUAUUUUUGGGCGAGGCUUGUCUCGUUUUAUUUUAAAAAAGGGUAAACCUAAAAGAUAACUGUAUUUUUACUUUUGAUUUUUGUCUCUAAUAGAAAAGAAAAUCCUUAUUGAUUAUUAGAAUUCGGAUUCCGAGUUCAAGUCCGGGCCCAAACAAAAGGAUGAACCUUUUAGUUUAAAAUUCGCUACCUAACUCAAAACCAAAUUUUAUUAAUUAACCACUUAGUGUCUCUAAAACAUGAAAAUCCUUAAUUAAUUACAAAAUUCUAAUCCAACUGAGCCAAGACCGUACCCAAGUAAGGAUGAGGCAUAACCAAACGCCGGAAAUCCUGAAGCCUACGACAAAAGGCCCAAUCUAACGAACCAAAUGGUUCUACAUGGGAGCUGUGGCAAAUGAGCCUGAGGCCAGCCCAAACGGUAAUGCUCAAGGAAAAUUAGGGGAUCGAACCCCUGGAGCUCACAAGCACACGAGUUAAUUGGUUAUCAAACCAUUUCCCACUUCAGUCAAUAUAGAUAAGAACAAUUGGAGUCACAUAACUUCUAAAAAAACCUGCAAUUAAUAUUGAACUGAGCAAACCAACCAUGUAUACAUUUUCACGUAAAAAGGAAGAAAAGACAAACCAAUCAUGUUUUACUUUAUUAACGCUUCCUACCAACAAUUAGCUAUAUCUACCAUGACUUAUCUAUCUCAACACUAAUCAAUAACUUAAACACCCACUGAUUUUAAUGUCCUGAAAUCAAAUUACUUAAGCACCACUAAUUGUAAUUAACUACUGAAAACUUCAAUCAUCUGUUCAUUUCUAAGCACAUGCAUACACUUGAUAAUUCAACUGAAUUUGUGCAGUCCAAAUCAGCAGAGCAUUAUCGCAAUCAACAACCCAAAUUAAUACAAUUUGACUACACCAAGUACAGUUCUGUUCCUCACGGAUUUACAAUCCAAUAUUACUAGAAAAUAGUCCAAUUACUCAGGACAAAAAUAGUGAACUAAUGCAAUUGUAAAUUUUAAACAGGCUUCAAAUUGAGCAGGGAUCUGUGCACAUUUCAUUUCUACUUCAAGUGUAGCUACAUGGAAACAAUUUGAGGGAGUGUACCUGAAUGUCGAAAUACAAGAAAAGUGAGAAGAGGAUAAGCUUAUAAUAACACGUUCCAGCAGUGUAAUUUGCAGUAUUAGCAUCAGGAAAUACAGCUAGUGUCCAGGAGUUAACAACAGCUACAAACUUGGACAAUUUGGACCCAAAAUGACUUCACAAAACCAAAGCAAAUCACCACAGGAAGGCCACAACCAGUAAAGGACUCCGGAACAACUCAAUUGCUACCAAAACCAAAUGAAAUUCACCCCAAAAUACUCUUGGAACCAACAGUAACCAGAAGUUGAACCAAAUAUUGUAAUCCAACAGCUAACAAUUGAAACCCAUUUAACAGCUUAAUGAAAUAGGAGAAUUUCUUUGAUUUUCUGGAUAAGAGUUUUUGGUUUUUCUUUUGAAGAAGCUAAAAUCUAAUGGAGUUUCAUAUCUGAAUUUCAAAUCAGAAAGCUUGGGGGUAUUUUUGGAAUGCCCAAAACUUGUAAAUUAAGGCACUAAAAGGUGCCUUCAAUAGGCAAAAAUAAGGGGCAACCCUCAAAUUUUUAGUUUUGCAUUACACCCUUCUCUAAUUUUCGCUUUUUGUUUAAGUAUCCCUAAAGAACUAACUUAUUUCCCAAGUUAUACCACCAAACUUAAUAGAAUUCUAAAGUGAACCCUAUCAAGAAUGAUUUUAAGAGAUUCCGUACCCUUGUAUUACCUAUCUUGCCCCUAAAUUUAAGCUAAAUAACAGCUAUAACCAAACAAUUCCCUAUGCAUUACAAAGUGCAACCCUAAUUUAAGUAACCAAUAUAAUCACUGAACUAAACUAACAACGACAAUCAAUAAAACUAACCACCAGCUAAACUAACCAAUACUGAUAAUCAAAUAUCAUUCAAACAAAUGUUAACUAACCAAAAUCAUAAUUGAAUCCUAAUACUGCAAGUCAUGGUUUAACAGAAAGGGUCGAAAUGAAUUCAAACUAUUAGCGGAACGAAUAACAACUUAACAACUAAUAACUUGAAACUAAGAUGAAUAGGAAAAUAAUGAUCAAAAUGACACAGAUACGGAGUUAAAUUGAAACGGGAUUGAAGACAACUUAAUGGCUUUCGGAUUAACACUUUUAAACAACAAAAUAACACUAAGAUAACACCAAAGGAAGAAGAGAAGGAAAAACGAAAUAGGGGAACUCACUGCUUUAAAAAUGACUCAGAACUUGAGCGGACUUGGUGAUAUUUGAACUUCGCCAAGGAUCGAUUCUUCACGAGGAGCGUAGAGCGACCGUGUAGUAUCAAUUUGGUAGUCUUCGGAGAUAUCAGGAUUUCCAGCCAACUUUGAACCAAUAUUCGAGCCAAUCGACUGAUAUUUGAGGGCAAAUGGAUGUGGAUUUGGGUUGAGGAAGGACUGGAGGUUGUGUAGUGUGAUUUUGGGCUGAUUUGGACCAAAUUUUGACUUGGCAGGAAAAUUUCAAUCGAAGAUUCGAGCAAUCUGGCUGUGAUUCGAAGGAAGCCAAUGUGAUAUUUGGAAAAAGGAUAUUGAGGAGGGUUGGUGGUGUUAUUUUUGGUGGGAACGGUUAAGGUGGCAUUUUCCACCGGCGAGAUCUCCGGCGAGUCUAGGGCUUCAUACGAGGAAGAAGAGAAGAUGUACGAGGAGGAGGACUACUGUCUCUAAAAUUU
rnacentral:lncRNA from 1 species